rnacentral:rRNA from 1 species
AACGAACGCUGGCGGCAUGCCUAACACAUGCAAGUCGAACGAGACCUUCGGGUCUAGUGGCGCACGAGUGCGUAACCCGUGGGAACCUGCCCUUAGGUUCGGAAUAACUCCCCGAAAGGGGUGCUAAUACCGGAUAAUGUCUUCGGACCAAAGAUUUAUCGCCUUUGGAUGGGCCCUCGUUGGAUUAGCUAGUUGGUAGGGUAAAAGCCGACCAAGGCGACGAUUCAUAGCUGGUAUGAGAGGAUGAUCAGCCACACUGGGAGUGAGACACGGCCCAGACUCCUACGGGAGGCAGCAGUGGGGAAUAUUGGAAAAUGGGCGAAAGCCUGAUCCAGCAAUGACGCGUGAGUGAUGAAGGCCUUAGGGUUGUAAAGCUCUUUUACCCGGGAUGAUAAUGACAGUACCGGGAGAAUAAGCUCCGGCUAACUACGUG